rnacentral:rRNA from 1 species
UACGGGGGGGGCAAGCGUUGUUCGGAAUUACUGGGCGUAAAGGGCUCGUAGGUUGCCAACUAAGUCAGACGUGAAAUCCCUCAGCUUAACUGGGGAACUGCGUCUGAUACUGGAUGGCUUGAGUUUGGGAGAGGGAUGCGGAAUUCCAGGUGUAGCGGUGAAAUGCGUAGAUAUCUGGAGGAAUACCGGUGGCGAAGGCAGGUCUCUGGGCUGACACUGACGCUCAUGCACGAAAGCGUGGGGAGCAAACAGG